rnacentral:tRNA from 1 species
ACCAAAGUAGUUUAAAGAAAACAUUAAUUUGUGGUAUUAAAAAAACCAGUUUAACCCUGGUCUAUGGUC